GUGCGCAUGCUCCGGUAUCACUACAAAGGCGAUCGACAGAAAGAACGCGAUCUUUUGCGCUUACUUCAGCCUCGUGGGUGUGAUGGCAGCUGCGAGACGUAGGGUGUUGAAAGGACUUUUUCUUUCGAUUUGCGCUGGAAAUGCUUGCAUCGAACUAGUCUGGGUGUCUCUGCCAUUUUUAUUGAACUGUGCGGAAACCUGAAUGCCAGAUGCUGCAGUACACGGGCAUGAAAAUGACCUGAGAUUAAGAGCCAGGUGUUGAAAAUGGCCACUGAGUUGAGGGAUGUACAGAUUAAGGUUCCAGACCCGAAAAGAGUGUGGGGAGCCUGAAAAAUGUCCACGUAGACUAUGAUGUGGAAGCUAUCCAGAGGAUGGGCUUCUGCCAGCAGAGAUGGCUGUCUUAUUUAGGAUUUAAUGGAAACAAGGUUGUAUGAAGACUCCUGGCUCGCCUACUAAGAGCUCCACAGUGCUUGUUCUGUAUUCUAGCUGGCCCUUUGUCUUAAUAAACCACUUUAAACCUUA